ACCUGGGUGGCUCAGUCGGCUGAGCGCCCGACUUCAGCUCAGGUCGUGAUCUCACAGUUCGUGGGUUCGAGUCCCACGCCGGGCU
rnacentral:tRNA from 1 species